ensembl:miRNA
CCCGGGGCCCGGAGCGGCCAGAGCAGCUCGCACGCUGACUCCAGCCCGGCUCCCGCUCCGGGCUCUGCCAGCGGGC